GCUGAUCUUUGCUUUGCUAAGAGGCACAGCUGAGAACGUCUCCUGGGUUCCUCUUGCUCCCUCCCGCUGAUUUGUGCUGAGGCUGAGGCCCUGCUCUCUGCUAAGUUGUGUCAUGGCUGUUGCUAACCUGACUCUAUUGAACUGGACUGCGGGUGUAUCCACAAAGUGUUUGUAAGUGAGCUGCUGCUGCCUGCUAAUCUGUGACCUGAACCGUUGAUACCCAGGCGACACAAAUGGGAGUUGCCCCAUGUCCUUUCUUUCCCACUACCUCUGGAGGGUGGUAGGCUACAAGGGAGGUUAAAGCAUCAAAGAACUAUGAUUAAAAAUAAGGUUUGGAAAAAUUAAAGUUACAGGUGGCGCCCAACAUGGUUUAGGCAUAAUGGGUAACUCUGCUUCUAAUGCACAGGAAAUGGCUGAUUAUGAGGGUUUAGCAAUGUUGCUUAAGGAGAUUGGCAAAAUGGCAGCUACUGUUGCUAGGAGGUAUUGUGCCUUGCUCGCAGAGGGGACUUCUUAGUUUUGAUUUGUAGUUUUCAUAAAUACUAUUUUGAAAAAGUUUAAUGGGAAACCCUUCUGUUAGAGAAGAUCGCAGAGUUGGCCAUGCAUUUAGAGAUUUUGUGGAUAGAGGCAGAAGUGCUUGGAAAACACAAAGAGCCAAUGGGGGUCGGGGGGGGGGGGAGUGUUGUUCAGGCUUGGUGAAUGAGAACAGGACUGUACUGAACGAUGAAAGCAAACUAGGCAGGAAGGUAAACUGCUGUCCCACCCUGCUUCUAGGGGCCUGAAAGAGCAGGGAACAGCACAGUAUAACAGGCUAAGGUGUAGCCAAGUGUACCACCAGAGAAUUUGCUUGGGCCUACACAGGCACCUUCAGCCUCCCCUGUCUGUGCAGCAUAUGCCUGGUAUCAAUGGUGGAGAGGCUUACAAUGAAUUAACCUGGAGACCAAUAUAAAUGUCAGAUUUAAAGCAUUUUAAAGAGGCUGUGAUAUUGCAUGGCUUACAUUCUUUUGUCAAAGAAAUGCUAAACAACUGGGCUACAUAUACAUCCCAGGCUUAUCCCACAAGAUUGGAAGGGAUUGGUGUCAGCUGUUCUAGAAGUUGGUCAACAAUUACAAUGGUUGUUGCGGUGGAGGCACGAAGCCACAGGACUAGCACAACAUAAUUUAGCAAGGGGGAAUACACGUUACUAAAGACUAGCUGCUUGGUGAAGGGCGUUGUGCUGACUUACAAGAACAAAUCCAAUUUGAUGAUGAUGUAAUCGAGCAAUGUUGUACUGCAGCUUUAAAAGCUUGGGAUUUGGUUGAUUUGGGGGAGAAUCUACUGUAUUUACUAAAAUAAUACAGGGCUCUGGGGAAGCCUUCGCAGAAUUCUUACAGAGGUUGAGUUCAGCUGUGAAUAGAGCCAUAACACACCCUGAAAGCAGACAGUCAUUGAUAGAAAUAUUGGCAUUUAAUAAAUGCAAAUACCAAAUGUUAGAGAGUAGUAAGACCAUUGAAAGCAUGUGGAGCUCCAAUAGAUGAAUGGAUAAGGGAGACAACUGAUAUUGGUUCUCAGGAGUAGCAAAUCAUAGCUAGAAAUUUCAGGAAUCAAAGUGCUGGAUGUAAAUGUGGCGCAUUUUGGUCAUUUCCAAAGAAACUGUAAGGCAGAGAAUUCAGAGGAUUCAGAGCUCAAAGUAACAGGCGCAAUGGUGAUCAUAGGAGAGAAUGAGCAGGUUCCGGUCAUGUCACUACGAGCCACCAAGGCUUCCAGGGUAUCGUAGCCACUGUGGAGAGGGCAAACAUUGGUCAACAGACUGCUGGUCUAAGAGAGACAUAAGAGGUAACCUCUUGUCAUUUGGAAAAGAACAGAGGGGUCUGUCAACGCCAGGCCCUGCAGCAAAACACCACCCAACACAACUGGCUCUCCAAAGAACCCUUAAGUUUCCACUUCAGGGACACAUGCAGAAGAGAUCUCGUGGUGACACAGGAGGAAGAGACUAUGGAGGGACUGGGCUCAUUCUAUGUAUUUAUUGUUUUGCUUACUAAAUAAUUAACUAGUUAAUUACCUAGUUAAUUAGUUAACCUUAGAGACAGGGUCUCAUGUAGCCUAAGGCUGGCUUCAAAUCCACAAUUCUGCCUUGUAGCAAUCGUCUCAAGGCUAAGAUCACAGGUGUGUUCCAUCAUCCCAAACAGUAAGUAUUCUUGAAAUAUCAAAUGACUAUGAGACACAGCAACUACUUUGGUUUUGUUAAAAGGAUGUGGGACUAUUGACAUGUUGCUUACCAAUGUCAUGCUGGGAAAUAGUCGAAUUUUCUCACCCAAAUCCACAACUAUAGAACUACAAUGGCUGUUUAGCUUACAAGCACAGUCGAGGGCGUUAGUACUCAGCAGACAGUGACAUAAAUAAAUAACUGAGAAAUCAACUAAGCAUGGUUGAGAUUCUCUGCCAGUAAAAGCUCUGAGGGAAGAUUAGAUACCUUGAAUCAAUGUCAAAAUUCUACAGUGGUGGUAUGCACCUUUAAUUUCAGCACUAGAGAAGAUGCAGUGGGCAGGUCUCUGUGAGUUCAAGGCCAUCUGGUCUACAUAGUGAGUUCCAGGACAGCUAGGGCUAUAGAGAGAGAUCAAGUCUCACAAAUAUACAAACGAAACCCUUCAGCUCAGCUGAGUGGUAUUUGUCUAUGAAAUCAAAAAUGGAAGAGACCAGUGAAGUCUGGAGGAGUUUUCAGUUGUGCUCGGCUGCCCGCUCACCUUACUAGAUUAUAAAGCACUCCAGAGGUUAGUGGCAGAACAGUUGGCCAUAAUUGUUCUUUCGUCAUUAUGCAGAAGAAUAAAAUGCAGAAGACAGUAGCAAGUAUGCUAUCAUGUCUGCUCAAAUGAGGAAGUAGAGGGAAAGUAGAGAUAUGGCAUUUGUUGCUCUUGUAGAGGACUGGGCUUCAGUUCCCAGCACCCAUACAAUGGCUCACAAUCACAUACGUAUAUGCAUGCCCCUUAAAUAUGUCAACACAAUAUAUUUUUAAAGGAUGAGGUAAAGCUAUAUCAACCUACUUGAAGUUCUUUUCCAGUAUUUAAAGCUUCAUAAAGAAAGCACACUGGCCUGGCGUUGGUGUUGCAUGCCUUUAAUCCCAGCACUUGGGAGGCAGAGGCAGGUGGAUUUCUGAGUUCAAGGCCAGCCAAAGUGAGUUCCAGGACAGCCAGGGCUACACAGAGAAACCCUGUCUC
rnacentral:lncRNA from 1 species